rnacentral:rRNA from 1 species
UACGGAGGGGGCGAGCGUUAUUCGGAAUUAUUGGGCGUAAAGAGCGUGUAGGCGGCCAGACAGGUCAGCUGUGAAAACUCGAGGCUCAACCUCGAGACGUCGGUUGAAACCGUCUGGCUAGAGUCCGGAAGAGGAGAGUGGAAUUCCCGGUGUAGCGGUGAAAUGCGCAGAUAUCGGGAAGAACACCCGUGGCGAAGGCGGCUCUCUGGGACGGUACUGACGCUGAGACGCGAAAGCGUGGGGAGCGAACAGG